UGAUCGCACAUUUGUCCCAUUUUCUAUGGGAUUUUCUAUCUUUAUGGGCCUCUUUUGCGAUCAUGGGCAGUAUACAAGUAGAAGCAAUAUGCGCAAUCAAACGAAAUAAAAAUUUUCCAAAUAGGAUUAUGAAUCUGACCAAACCUUCUUUUGCAAUUUUUUAAAUAUUUACGAUUUGCAGAUGGGCCCUUUUUUAAAUGUUUGGCUAGAAUCCAGAUUCACUUGAAUUCUCUCCACGCAUCUCUGUAUUUAUCCAUUGACUCUGAAUAUUAGUGUUCGCGGGAUUUGAAAAAAAUUCUCCUCAGAAUCUUUGGAGGAUUCAGAUAGAUGUUUCUCAAUUUUACGUGACCUCCUGUGGCGGAUCCGACCUGGCUAUUAGACUUUAUGCUGGUGUAUUGACUGUCACGUCCGAAAAAUGAGCCUUGCUUUUGGGAUGGACGGGUCUAAUCGCUGCUUGCGAGCUGCUGCCUACCCGCUUUAUAUAUCUUACAUCUUGCCUUCGGAUAUAUGGAGUAGUACGGCGCGGUCGUACAAGAGUUACUCGGUCUGUGAGAUCCGAGUCUCUACAACCACAGCCAGGAUGGCGAAGUUUGGUCACGUAAGACAUCUCCCAGAGUAGCUGGUAUCAGCUAAAAUAAGAUCAGAACUUAGCAAGAUUAUUUUUCCGCGUAUUGCUUAAUGCAAUGAUUAAUGCUGGCUAUUCACACAGUAACAUGGUAAACCGUUGCAUUGGAUGAAUUAUUUCCUGAUGCGAUUAAAUAGUAACUUCAACGAAUCAACUGCCUGAAGGAGUUACAUUAAAUGUUAAGCAAUGACACCAAUGGCGUUUUAGUUUUUUUAUAAUGCCGGUGAAGUUGGUGCUACCCUCAUUUUAAAUUGGGUGUAAUCAGUCUAUCUCCUUUUUUGCACUACACCGGUGUAGCACCAAGAAAAAACGAAAACGCUUUAAGGCACAUGCAUUGCAGUGGUAGAAGGUUUUCAAUUAAUUUUUUAAAAGUUGGUUUUGUUUUCUUUUAUGUUAGGAAAUGCUUCAGUUAGGUAAUUUUUUCCAGACUAAGGGCCGAUUUCUUCACCCUCGCUUAACUUUUAAACCAGGCUUAACGAAAUUUUAAACCAGGUUUAAUUUUUUUUCGAUUUCUUCAGGUUCGCUUAGCGUCUAAACCAGGUUCAAAUUAAGCCGGGUUUAGGAUAAGCGACGUUUAAUUUAAGCGGUGCUAUGAGGUGGUUUAACGACGCUAAACUCGUUAAGUAAAGAUAUUCAUUUUCUUCACUAUACUGUGUAGCAUUUCACUCUUCGUUCGCCAAACAUUUUCAAACAAGAAAAUGUAUAGUCGGCGUAAACAUAUUUGGGAACAGCCACAUUGGAGAUUUUGGGAAGAUAUCGAUGAAGAUAGUGAGGAAAACUAUUUUCAAUUGGCUCGUCGCCAAUAUAAAAUGAAAGUUCGCAUCAACAUUGACAACUGGGACGACGAGGACUUUUUCAUGAGAUUCCGUUUGCAAAAGAACACUGUAAUGAUGAUCUUGCAAAUUAUUCGUUCAUCUUUGGAAAUUGAUGAAACCAGGUAUUUGAACCAGUUUAUUAAUAAAAUGAAAAUAAUUUGAAUGUUUAAUGUAGAUCUCGACACAUCCGGCCGUUGGUGCAAUUAUUGAUCACACUUCGGUUUUAUGCCUUAGGAUCAAUGCAAAUCGCAAUUGCGGACUUCUCCGGUGUUUGUAUUUCAUCUGUAUGCCGUAUUAUUCGACGUGUAUCGCUUGCUUUAGCGUAAAUGUACUUACGCUUUAUAAAGAUGCCACAAACGCAGAGUGAACUGCAGGCAGCAAGCCGUGACUUCUACGCUAUUGCUAAAUUUCCGAGAACAAUAGGUGCGAUCGAUUGUAUACACAUCAAAAUACAAUCACCUGGUGGUGACCAAGCUGAGAGCUACCGGAAUCGUAAAUCUUGGUUUUCGCUUAAUGUACAGACAGUUAGCUCGGCGAAUUUAAAAAUAUUGAACAUCGUCGCAAGGUGGCCUGGGGCAUCCCACGACCAAUAAAUUUUUAAUAAUUCUACUUUAAAGAUGCAAUUCGAGGAGGGGAAAUAUAGCAACUUUAUACUCGUUGGUGAUUCUGGAUAUCGCAAUACAAAGUACUUGGCGACACCUUUUUUUCGAUGUAACACUUCCGUUGAAGCUCUAUAUAACGAAAGUUUAAUCCGUACCCGAAAUGUUGUAGAACGUUCAUAUGGCGUGUUGAAACGACGAUUUCCAAUUCUUGCAUUAGGAAUGCGAGUGAAAAUAUCAACAGUUCAGCUUAUUACUGUUGCGUGCGCAGUAUUACAUAACAUUGCUAUCGAUGUCAAGGAAGGGAUGCCACCAGAAGAAAUUGAGGGAUUUGACGAA